rnacentral:tRNA from 1 species
AAAAAUAGUAAGAUACACAGUAAAGCUGCUAACUAAACUGUAAGUGGUUUAAUUCCAUUUUAUUUUUU